rnacentral:rRNA from 1 species
CGUGUAGGCGGAGAUGCAAGUUGGGAGUGAAAUCCAUGGGCUCAACCCAUGAACUGCUCUCAAAACUGUAUCCCUUGAGUAUCGGAGAGGCAAGCGGAAUUCCUAGUGUAGCGGUGAAAUGCGUAGAUAUUAGGAGGAACACCAGUGGCGAAGGCGGCUUGCUGGACGACAACUGACGCUGAGCGCAAGCUGGGAGCAAACA